AUUGAACGCUGGCGGCAGGCCUAACACAUGCAAGUCGGGCGGAUGAAGGGAGCUUGCUCCUGGAUUCAGCGGCGGACGGGUGGGUAAUGCCUAGGAAUCUGCCUGGUAGUGGGGGAUAACGUCCGGAAACGGGCGCUAAUACCGCAUACGUCCUGAGGGAGAAAGUGGGGGAUCUUCGGACCUCACGCUAUCAGAUGAGCCUAGGUCGGAUUAGCUAGUUGGUGGGGUAAAGGCCUACCAAGGCGACGAUCCGUAACUGGUCUGAGAGGAUGAUCAGUCACACUGGAACUGAGACACGGUCCAGACUCCUACGGGAGGCAGCAGUGGGGAAUAUUGGACAAUGGGCGAAAGCCUGAUCCAGCCAUGCCGCGUGUGUGAAGAAGGUCUUCGGAUUGUAAAGCACUUUAAGUUGGGAGGAAGGGCAGUAAGUUAAUACCUUGCUGUUUUGACGUUACCAACAGAAUAAGCACCGGCUAACUUCGUG
rnacentral:rRNA from 1 species